GACGAACGCUGGCGGCGUGCUUAACACAUGCAAGUCGAACGGAAAGGCCCUGCUUUUGUGGGGUGCUCGAGUGGCGAACGGGUGAGUAACACGUGAGUAACCUGCCCUUGACUUUGGGAUAACUUCAGGAAACUGGGGCUAAUACCGGAUAGGAGCUCCUGCUGCAUGGUGGGGGUUGGAAAGUUUCGGCGGUUGGGGAUGGACUCGCGGCUUAUCAGCUUGUUGGUGGGGUAGUGGCUUACCAAGGCUUUGACGGGUAGCCGGCCUGAGAGGGUGACCGGCCACAAUGGGACUGAGAUACGGCCCAGACUCCUACGGGAGGCAGCGGUGGGGAAUAUUGCACAAUGGGCGGAAGCCUGAUGCAGCGACGCCGCGUGCGGGAUGUCGGCCUUCGGGUUGUAAACCGCUUUCGCAUGUGACGAAGCGUGAUUGACGGUAAUGGGUAAAGAAGCACCGGCUAACUACGUG
rnacentral:rRNA from 1 species